AAUGAAAAUAUGUUUAUGUUAAAAUUUGAAAUAAAAAAUGAGUUUCAGAAAAAUAGUUUUAAUUAGAACAGUUAUUAGUAUUUAAGAAAUAACUUUUUUGGACCUAGUGCAAAAGUACCGUGAGGGAAACGUGAAAUAAAAAUGAAAAUUUGAUUGAUUAAAAGAAGAAGUAAAAACUUGUACCUUUUGUAUCAGGGAGGAUCGAAAUAUACUAAUAAUGUUAGAGUUCCCGAAAAAAGAAUAGCUAAGAGCUUAUGUUUAUCCCGGUGGAAAAUUGGUUUAUAAUAAGUCCUUAGUGGUGAAAUGCUAGUCGGGUCUUUUGAUAUCUGGUUGUUUUGGAAAUAAAUUUAAUUUGGCCUAAACUAGUAAAUAAUAAUAGUUUAGUUGAAUGGCCGGAGGGAAAAGCUUCUGGUCAUAAAUCUUGGUAUAAAUAAAAUUUCUUUUAAUAUGCAAUUCUAACUGGGCUUAGAAGUAGCCAUGUUUAUAAAGUGUCUUAACUAAGAUAAAGCUUUAAUAGAAUAUUUUUAUAAUUUUUAUCAAAAAUACGAAACUUUAAGUGAGAAUUUGAAUAACUUAGCAAUAAUGAUCUUAUUAGUAUAAUCAUUUCUGUGUGUUCGAUUAAGCAAAUUUAAAAUAAAAAAUAUUUCUUGUUGAAUAAAAGAGGAUAUAGCAAAGGAACUCGGCAAAAAAGAUUUCUGCCUGUUUAUCAAAAACAUGUCUUUAUGAACUUCAUGUAAAGUCUAGCCUGCCCAGUGACAUUAAAGUUUAACGGCCGCGGUAGCAUGACCGUGCUAAGGUAGCAUAAUCAUUUGUCCUUUAAUUGAGGACUGGUAUGAACGGCUGAACAAGAAAUCAACUGUCUCUGCUAUAAAUUUUGAAAUUGACAUUUAAGUGAAAAGGCUUAAAUGAGAUAGGGGGACGAUAAGACCCUAUAAAUCUUGAUGAUUAAGAUAAUAAAUUUUAGGCAGUAGUAAUAAGUUUAAAUUUAAUGUCUUAAUUAUUUUGUUGGGGCGACAGGAGUAUAAGAAGUAACUGCUUUGAAAAAAUAAUUAAUUAUUUUUAUGAUGUUUUGUUUGUGAUCCUUCUAUGAAGAUAAUAGAUCAAGUUACUUUAGGGAUAACAGCGUAAUCUUUCUUGAGAGUCCAUAUCGAAAGAAGGGGUUGCGACCUCGAUGUUGAAUUAAAGAGCCUUUGUGGUGUAGCAGCUAUUGUAAGGAGGUCUGUUCGACCUUUAAAUCUUUACAUGAUUUGAGUUCAGACCGGCGUAAGCCAGGUCGGUUUCUAUCUCCUAUAAUAGAGAUAACUUUCUUAGUACGAAAGGAUCAGAAAGUUGGAAUAAUUUUAAGUUAUUUUAUC
rnacentral:rRNA from 1 species